ACAGUUCGGUCCCUAUCUGUCGUGGGCGCAGGAAAUUUGAGAGGAGCUGUCCUUAGUACGAGAGGACCGGGAUGGACGUACCGCUGGUGCAUCAGUUGUUCCGCCAGGAGCAUGGCUGAGUAGCUACGUACGGACGGGAUAAGCGCUGAAAGCAUCUAAGCGUGAAGCCCCCCUCAAGAUGAGAUUUCCCAGUAUGUAAGACCCCUUGAAGACGACGAGGUAGAUAGGUUGGAGGUGGAAGCACGGCAACGUGUGGAGCUGACCAAUACUAAUCGGUCGAGGGCUUAUCCAAA
rnacentral:rRNA from 1 species